UCCCAAGUUCAAACUGGCCCAGUUAGGA
rnacentral:piRNA from 2 species